CUGGGCAGGGACCCAUUUUCUGUGUCAUGGCUCUCUGUGCAAAGCUUUAUUCCUUCUAAGGGCCAGCGUUUCAGAUGUUUGGGUCUAUUCCUCUAUCCAGGACUACCACUGAGGAACCACUGACCAGUGCUUCUCCCAGAAGGCCAGCAAGAGGAAUGGCAAGGGAGCAGGACCCUGCUUCACACCAGCUACAUUUCUGAUCAGCCCAAGACAACUCACAACCAGCAGACAACAUGGCAGCCACUAGCAAAACUUCAGGGUGAAAAGAAUGACCCAAAUUGGCUAAAUGGGAGCUAUGAGGACCUGAAAUAAAACAGAGUAUCAUUUUUCUCUCUCUAGCCA
rnacentral:lncRNA from 13 species